UUUUAAUAAGUUGUGUAGUUG
rnacentral:piRNA from 1 species